UACUAUCAGUGUAUCUCACAUGAAUAUCAGUUUCUUUCUGACAAGUCAAAAUCUUUUCUUAACUUUGGUUGGAACAUUUUUUCAUAGCAUACAGAGAGCCAAAAUCCCAGCAUUCUUUAAGGCCCGGGAUAACAGCAGCCCCACCUCUUCCUGACGUUUUUUUUUCUUUUCUUAAAUGCUAUGAGAGAGAAAAUGUAAGCACAUGUUCAGUUUUGUAACAUGGAUAUCGCACAUGCUUCUCCUGUUUGUAUCUCACCAUCCUGGAUUCAUCAUCACAGAGUGUUGCCCCUGUGGAGCCACAGGAGGACAUGGUCCAUGAUGAAGGUAUGGAAUGUGUGUGAUAUUGUUUUAACCAUUCCAGUCACUAAUAUUGAGGUGUCUUUCUGUUUCUCUUAUUGUGUAUGUACUGUUGUGCUUUAUUUUGUUUGUGUUUUACAGCUUUACCUUGUCCACCCCCUCCUGUUAUGCACCUUGCAACCUCUGUCCCUUCUGUGACUCCACACCAGCCAACUUCCUCUGUCCCAACCUAAGAUCAGGACGUUGCCCAGUAGAACUGCUCCCACCAGCAGAAAAUAUACUAUAUGAGAUGGAGGUGCUGGGGCUAUGGCCAGGGUCACAUCCCAUACAUCACCCCAUGAACAUGCUGUCUCUGUGGUGUUUUCCACCUCAGUCUGAGCUCAUAGGCUCAAUCUCUGACCUGCCAUCACCAAAAUACUUUCAACUGCAUCCAUUUUUCAUUUGGAAGCCAGAGCAUAUGAUCACAGAGAGGCUUAGGAACAAUAACAUCUUGCUCUGUCUUCAUGGCUGUAGGUAGCUUCUUCUGGCGUAGGAAGGUACGAGAGUAAUUAUUGGCAUCAGUGGCCAGUACUACAUUUUAGCAUUGAGGCAGACCUGCAAGAUUUGCAAGAAGUACUGGUAUACUGACAAGCCCCAGUGACUGGAGGAGCUGCCAAAGCAUUUUACUAACAUCGUGCCAGCUUUCCUCACAUAUAAAAAGGAUGGCCUUUUUAUAUGUGAGGAAUCUGUGAUGGAUGAGCUGAGGCGCAGUGGCAGAUCACCUGAAGACAUGGCAAAGCAGCUGACCGAAGUGAGAGACUAUCACUGGGCUCCUCAGUCAGUCAAACACCCCUGCUCCUUUGGUAGAUACUCCGAUGCUGAUGGCUGGUGUGGAGUAUCUAUUUCCUCACACUACCUGGUCGACUCCCUGAUUUAGGAAUGUCAGCGGCAAGAGCAGCUCUCUGUUGCUGCAAGGGACAUUUGGCUGGGCCCUCAGGUCAGAUCAUACCUGCAAAGUGGCAAGAAAAGUCCUCGUAUGCCAUAAUGAAUGACAACUGGAUGAUCAUGUCCUGGGUGAUACUGCAGUCAGAGGGCGACUGGUCCCUUUAUCCCAUGUAUGAGGGUCUGUCUCAAUGCUACACUGCUGCUGGAGUAGAGAAGGCAAACUACCAGUGGGUGGACAGGGACUGCUGCACUGCCUUCAAGGUCCUCAACCCUGGAGCUCAGGAGCACCUCUUGUGGGACUGCUGGAGGACCACAGAGGUUAUUGUGGCAGAGGUGACCUCUGGACACCUGGUUAACAACAGUGCUUCAAGGAGCAAAUUUAACAAGGACACAUCCGUAAAGUUAGACUUGUUUCACUGCAUGCGGCACAUUACCAGAGAGUGUGUCUCAGAGCAUCACCCUCUGUACAGCUCUUUCUGCCAGUUCAUGUCAGCAGCGUUUGUUGUGGUGGACCAGGGUGAUCUGCAGAAUCUCAAGGAGGUGUACACCUUUUGUGGAAUCUUUCCUGUAAAUCCCACCAAGCAGCAUAUAAGAGAACACUGUAGGACAAAGGUGCCACAGCCCAGAGAGCUGCUGCAGAAAGUAGAGGAUGUCCUCCAUCACUUCUACCAGGCUAAGGACGUGAAUGGCUUGCACCUUUUUUAAGCCCUCCAUGCUGAAAGUGUGGAGGAUUCAACGUGUCCACAUCCUGAGAGGCUGCCUGAGCGUUCCUGUGGUGGGGGAAGGGAUCCUUUAUAGAUACGGUGGCAUUACAUCAAGGGUAAAGGGGGUGCUGUUCCUAUUUGGAUCCCUGUGAGAGGCACCUCUCAGCAGGAGGGAUUCCACUUUCACCAGGCAAAGUGGGUGGCAAGUGGGUGUCCAGUGAACCUUUUCAGGCCCAGACCAUGACAGGAGUGGUGCGCUGGAACUUCCAGAGGCUGGUGGACAUGAAGCAGCCUGGUGUGGAGCUGCCAUCAGUCUUUGACCCUCUACCGAUGACUGAACUGAACAGGUGUUCAGUAGAAGUGACUGGGAAAGCAAAAUAUCCCACCCUGCAGGUCUCAAACAGGGACACAGGGGAACAUUUUGGCCUUCAGUAUGCUGAGCCAGGCUGUCGUCCUGUUCCUCUGAACUGUGACAUGGCAGCAGUCCUCUCUGCACCGCAUGAAGUCCAUCACUACCCCGCUACUGCAGGUCCAACAGACUCAGGAGACUAGUAGCACAGCUCAGGAUGAUCCUGUCUUCCCAGCCUCCCUGGAUAACCACAGCCAAAACAGAGACUCAGUCCUUAAUGGAUACAGCCACACGCACUGGACCCAUUAAGACAGGAGGCCUUAUUCAAGUCCUGGACCAUAGCUGGUGCACAGAACCCAUGAGAGCCACUACUGAUGGUCUUCUGGUUAAGUACCGUGGUGCUAAAGAUCUUCUGAUGCGUGUCGAUGCAGAGGGUGUGCACUGAGCCCAACAACCUUCUCCAUCCCACCACAUGCCAACACAUCUCAAGAUGCAUAAAGCAUCUGGCAAAAUUAAAAAAACACAAGCUCCUCCCUGAACACCAGCUCUGAGAAGGUUUUGGAGACACAGCAGCUAUAGUUUGACCACAGGCAGCCAAACAGUCAGUGUGUCUGUCACAACUCUCCUGCCUUUCUCAGCCUUCCACCUGUGGCUUCCCCCAGGAGGAGUCACUGACCCGAGCGACUGUGGAGAGGAUUGCAACAGAGAUCCUGGAAAAACAGCAGCAGCAGCCACAGCUGCAGAAGAGGAAGCUGACCAGGAACUGUUUAGCCAAAGUCAUGGAAAUGAAGACGACUGUCCGCUUCUUCCCAGGAAGGAUGAGGGUGACUUUCAGGAAGAGUCGAUCAGAGUGAGGAGCAAGGAUUCUGCUUUCACCAGGAUGCCAACACAUACUGUUACAGUAUUCAGUUUCAGAUAAUAGAAAGCUGAGAAAAACUACAAAUCCUCAGAGUUGAGGAGCUGGAACCAGAGAAUGUUUGCUUGUUUAUGAUUUGUUUAUGAUACACUGGAUUGUAUAUUCACUAGUAAAUUCUAUCUACUGUCCGUUUGUUUUAUAUAUGAUGUAUUUAGGCAUGUCAGUGUUGAUUUUAUGUGUGUAAUGAUGAAGAAUUCAGCUUGUUUUUCAAUAAAGUAUCUUGAAAGCAUUGCUGUGACUGUGACUAUUUCAUGCAGGUAGCGA